GCCAGUCGAACGGUGAAGGGAUCAGUUUUCUGGUUCUGGAUGAGUGGCGAACGGGUGAGUAACACGUGAGUAACCUGCCCCCUUCUUCUGGUUAACCGCAUGAAAGUGUGGCUAAUACGGGAUAUUCUGCGCCUGCUGCAUGGUGGGUGUGGGAAAGAUAUUGUUUCGGUGGGGGAUGGGCUCGCGGCCUAGCAGCUUGUUGGGGGGGUGAUGGCCUACCAAGGCGGUGACGGGUAGCCGGCCUGAGAGGGUGGAC
rnacentral:rRNA from 1 species